rnacentral:rRNA from 1 species
GAUGAACGCUGGCAGCGUGCUUAACACAUGCAAGUCUUUGGCAAAGCCGUGCUUGCACAGCCUCGCCAGUGCGGACGGGUGGGUUACGCGUAAGGAACUUGCCCUGCAGUCAGGGAUUACAGACGGAAACGACUGAUAAGACCUGGUAAAGUCAUGCGGAUUCAUGUCCAGCCUGAUGAAAGGAGAUGCUGUAGGAGUGGCUUGCGUACUAGUCGCUUGUUGGUGGGGUAACGGGCCAACAAGGCGAUGAGAGGUAGCCGGCCUGAGAGGGUGGACGGCCACAAGGGGACGGGGAGGCGGCGCUGACUACUGCGGGAGGCAGCGGUGAAGAAUAUUGGACGAGGGGGGCAACCCUGAUGCAGCGCUUCGGUGUGGACGAUGAAGUUUUUCGGGUAGAAAAGUUCUGUCAGCAACGAAGAAAAAAAUGACGGUACCUGCUGAAGAAGCGACGGCUAACUACGUG